CAGCAGCCGCCACGGGAAUACGUAGGGUGCAAGCGUUAAUCGGAAUUACUGGGCGUAAAGCGUGCGCAGGCGGUUAUAUAAGACAGAUGUGAAAUCCCCGGGCUCAACCUGGGAACUGCAUUUGUGACUGUAUAGCUAGAGUACGGCAGAGGGGGAUGGAAUUCCGCGUGUAGCAGUGAAAUGCGUAGAUAUGCGGAGGAACACCGAUGGCGAAGGCAAUCCCCUGGGCCUGUACUGACGCUCAUGCACGAAAGCGUGGGGAGCAAACAGGAUUAGAUACCCCCGUAGUCCCUGUCUCUUAUAC
rnacentral:rRNA from 1 species